rnacentral:rRNA from 1 species
GGGAUUGCAAUGGGCGCAAGCCUGAUGCAGCCAUGCCGCGUGUAUGAAGAAGGCCUUCGGGUUGUAAAGUACUUUCAGCGGGGAGGAAGGGAGUAAAGUUAAUACCUUUGCUCAUUGACGUUACCCGCAGAAGAAGCACCGGCUAACUCCGUGCCAGCAGCCGCGGUAAUU